rnacentral:rRNA from 1 species
GACGAACGCUGGCGGCGUGCUUAACACAUGCAAGUCGGACGAUGAAGCCCAGCUUGCUGGGUGGAUUAGUGGCGAACGGGUGAGUAACACGUGAGUAACCUGCCCUGGACUCUGGGAUAACCCCGAGAAAUCGGAGCUAAUACCGGAUAGGACCUGGAACCGCAUGGUUUUGGGUGGAAAGUUUUUUCGGUCUGGGAUGG